CUUGUUUUUCCUUUCCAUCUGACAGCCCUGAAGUCUGGGAAGCUAAGCAGAAUUGGGUCUGCUUAGUACUUGGAAAGGAGACAGUUUGAGAAUACCCAGUACUGUAGGCUUGC
rnacentral:rRNA from 1 species